rnacentral:rRNA from 1 species
AGCAACCUACCCUUGACUUUGGAAUAAGCCCGGGAAAUCGGGUCUAAUACCAAAUACGACCUCUUCAGAUAUCUGAGGAGGUGGAAAGCUCCGGCGGUCAGGGAUGGGCUCGCGGCCUAUCAGCUAGUUGGUGAGGUAAUGGCUCACCAAGGCUUCGACGGGUAGCCGGCCUGAGAGGGCGACCGGCCACACUGGGACUGAGAUACGGCCCAGACUCCUACGGGAGGCAGCAGUGGGAAUAUUGCACAAUGGGCGCAAGCCUGAUGCAUCAACGCCGCGUGUGGGAUGACGGCCUUCGGGUUGUAAACCACUUCCAGCGCCGACGAAGCGAAAGUGACGGUAGGCGCAGAAGAAGCACCGGCCAACUACGUGCCAGCAGCCGCGGUGAUACGUAGGGUGCGAGCGUUGUCCGGAAUUAUUGGGCGUAAAGGGCUCGUAUGCGGUCUGUCACGUCGGGAGUGAAAACUCUCGACUCAACCCCGAGCCUGCUUCCGAUACGGGCAGACUUGAGGAAUGCAGGGGAGAAUGGAAUUCCUGGUGGAGCGGUGGAAUGCGCAGAUAUCAGGAGGAACACCAGUGGCGAAGGCGGUUCUCUGGGCAUUUCCUGACGCUGAGGAGCGAAAGCGUGGGGAGCAAUGGGAUUAGAUACCCCAGUAGUC